GAAUCUUCCGCAAUGGACGAAAGUCUGACGGAGCGACGCCGCGUGCAGGAUGAAGGCCUUCGGGUUGUAAACUGCUGUCAGAUGUUAUGAACAAGCACGGGCAAACACCCCGUGCCCUGACAAAAGCAUCAGAGGAAGCCCCGGCUAACUUCGUGCCAGCAGCCGCGGUAAGACGAAGGUGGCAAGCGUUGUUCGAAAUCACUGGGCAUAAAGCGCGCGUAGGUGGCCUAGCAAGCGGGGAAGGAAAUCCCAUGGCUCACCCAUGGAACCGUUCUCCGAACUGCUUCGCUUGAGGGCGGGAGGGGAGAGUGGAAUUCCUGGUGUAGCGGUGAAAUGCGUAGAUAUCAGGAGGAACGCCGGUGGCGAAAGCGACUCUCUGGCCCGAUCCUGACACUGAGGCGCGAAAGCUAGGGGAGCAAACAGG
rnacentral:rRNA from 1 species